rnacentral:rRNA from 1 species
CCUACGGGAGGCAGCAGUGGGGAAUAUUGGACAAUGGGCGAAAACCUGAUCCAGCCAUGCCGCGUGUGUGAAGAAGGCCUUCGGGUUGUAAAGCACUUUCAGUGGGGAAGAAAGCCUUGGGGCUAAUACCCUCGAGGAAGGACAUCACCCACAGAAGAAGCACCGGCUAACUCCGUGCCAGCAGCCGCGGUAAUACGGAGGGUGCGAGCGUUAAUCGGAAUUACUGGGCGUAAAGCGCGCGUAGGCGGUCUGAUAAGCCGGUUGUGAAAGCCCCGGGCUCAACCUGGGAACGGCAUCCGGAACUGUCAGGCUAGAGUGCAGGAGAGGAAGGUAGAAUUCCCGGUGUAGCGGUGAAAUGCGUAGAGAUCGGGAGGAAUACCAGUGGCGAAGGCGGCCUUCUGGACUGACACUGACGCUGAGGUGCGAAAGCGUGGGUAGCAAACAGGAUUAGAUACCCGGGUAGUC